rnacentral:rRNA from 1 species
GACGAACGCUGGCGGCGCGCUUAACACAUGCCAGUCGAACGGAAAGGCCUGCUUUCCCUUGUGGAUUGCGGGUACUCGAGUGGCGAACGGGUGAGUAACACGUGAGUGAUCUGCCCCCAACUUGGGUAUAAGCCUGGGAAACUGGGUCUAAUUCCCGAUAGGACUGCAGGGUGGUGCCUGUGGUGGAAAACGAUUUUCUAGUGGUUGGGGAUGAGCUCGCGGCCUAUCAGCUUGUUGGUGGGGUAAUGGCCUACCAAGGCGGCGACGGGUAGCCGGCCUGAGAGGGUGGACGGCCACAUUGGGACUGAGAUACGGCCCAGACUCCUACGGGAGGCAGCAGUGGGGAAUAUUGCACAAUGGGCGGAAGCCUGAUGCAGCGACGCCGCGUGGGGGAUGACGGCCUUCGGGUUGUAAACUCCUUUCGACCGCGAGGAAGCCACCUGGUUGGAAGGGUGGUGACGGUAGUGGGAGAAGAAGCACCGGCUAACUACGUG